rnacentral:tRNA from 2 species
AAGAAUUUAAGUUAUAAUAAACUUCCGGCCUUCAAAGUCGAAAAAAGAAAAUUUUCUAAUUCUU